AGUGAACGCUGGCGGCAGGCCUAACACAUGCAAGUCGAGCGGCAGCGCGGGGCAACCUGGCGGCGAGCGGCGGACGGGUGAGGAAUACGUCGGAAUUUGCCUUUUUGUGGGGGAUAACGUAGGGAAACUUACGCUAAUACCGCAUACGACCUACGGGUGAAAGUGGGGGACCGCAAGGCCUCACGCAGAAAGAUGAGCCGACGUCCGAUUAGCUAGUUGGUGAGGUAAUGGCUCACCAAGGCGACGAUCGGUAGCUGGUCUGAGAGGAUGAUCAGCCACACUGGGACUGAGACACGGCCCAGACUCCUACGGGAGGCAGCAGUGGGGAAUAUUGGACAAUGGGCGCAAGCCUGAUCCAGCCAUGCCGCGUGUGUGAAGAAGGCCUUCGGGUUGUAAAGCACUUUUGUCCGGAAAGAAAUCCUGAAGAUUAAUACUCUUUGGGGAUGACGGUACCGGAAGAAUAAGCACCGGCUAACUUCGUGCCAGCAGCCGCCGUAA
rnacentral:rRNA from 1 species